rnacentral:lncRNA from 1 species
GUAAAAAAAUGUGGUCAACCGCUCAUACCAAGCGAGGAGCUUGUUUCAGCCCAGACAGUGCCUUUUUAGUUGUACACAUGAUCAGGAUUCUUAGGAUCUUUCAAAUUCCUUUUGGUUGUUCAACAUAGGUUUCUUCUUGUAGAAUUACCAUUCAGAAAGGCACUCUUUACAGCCAUUUGGUGACGUCUAGCCUAGAUGACCAAGCUAUGGCAAGUUAGAAUGCGAACAGCUACACCUUGCAACAGGUGGGCAAAUUGUUUAUCAAAAUCUAUUCAUUCGAUUUGUAGGUGUUCUAUUCCAUGGCAACAAGUCUUGCCGGUUUUCUAGUGAUAGCCCAAAUUAUCGAUUUUAUUUUGAAUAUCAUUUAGUUACCUAUCACAUUCACACUUAUUGGGCCUAGGAAACAAGAGUCACAAUCAUUACGGAACAAAUUGAGUAACUCUUCAUGCAUAUAGCAAGUUAUCCAGAUAUCCUCAGUUAAUGUCUUUCAAUUUUUAGGCUAAAAGGAAGUAUAGACAAAUAUAGGUUACCUCAUUCCUACCUGAGCCUGUUUCAGUGGUGAUGACAACAUCUCCAAUCACUUGACCCCAAUGGAUGAUCAAUUUUACCUCGGCUGAUGGUUCAAGCUUAUUUCCAAUGUCAUCUUCAGUAUUGUCCAUAUUGUGGCAUCAUCACAUAUUCGUUUGUACUCUCUUCCACUUGUUCGGUCGCCACUAUCUGAAUCAGAAAAAAUCAUCAAGCACACCAUUAGUGUGAACAAAGCAUCAUCAAUUACAACAUUUAUGAUUCCAUCAUGUAGAGUACGCAAGUUACUAACACGAUAAGCUUACUAUUAGAAGAAUAUCCAAGAAAUACUCUUCAUCACUGUGAGACAUCAAAUUUACCUAGAUUCUCUCUAUUCUCAAGAUAUAGCACUAAGUCCGGAAUGAACUCGGAAGUAUUUCACAUUAGGCUUUUACCUUUCCAGAGUUCAUAGGGGUUGGUCUGUUGGUACCACCCUCAAAGACACAGAUUGCCAAUAUGCAAGCUGUAUUACAGCGUCAGCCCAAAAUUUUUAGCAAAAUUCCUUCACAUGAAGCAUCACGCGAGGCCAUUUCUGAAAAUCAUUUUUCCUUUCCACUACCCCAUUCUGUUACGGGGUUUGUCUUUGGAGCAGAAAAUCAUGCGUAUGCCCUGCUCAUCAAAACAGUUAGCAAACUCAAAUUUUUAAAUUCCUUAAACCCAAUUGGGGAAAAUUCCGUACGAAUUCUGCGAAUGAAGCCAAUUUUUGAUCCCUUUUCACCUGCAUCUGUCUUUAAACACAAUGCUCGAAAUACAGAGAAAGUAUCAGAUUUCUCACGAAUAAAGUUAACCCAUGUGAAUCUAGAAAAAGCAUCCACUGCAACAAAGAUUGUACUUUACCACAAUACUCUCUGUUGAGUUGGACCCAUCAAGUCCAUAUGAACUAGUUCAAGAGGUUUUGAUUGUGUAAUAGAUUCAAUUUCUUGUUUGUGGACUUAAUUUGUUUUUCCAAUUGACAGGUCAACAGACACAUUGGGAUUGUUCCUAGUUUGGAAAUUCACGAAUGAGGUCGGAGGCGGACAUCUAGACAAGUCAUUAAAGUUGACAUGACCAAACCUUUGGGCCAUAACUCAAUCUCACCAAAUUUGCCGAAUUAAAAAAAAAUCACUACCUGAGAUAAUCCCCUAGCAAAUCAGCGUGCGUGCUGCUUUCAAUUACACAAUAACAUCAUUUAUCAAAAUGAAAUUCGUUUAGAAAAUUGUACUUGAUAUGCGUAUCACAUAGUGACUUAUGCUUAUGAGGUUAAGCUUUAGGCCCUUCUCAAAUAGCAACACGACAGUAAGAUAGGGGACCCAUUAGCGCUUAUGUUCCCUUUUCUAUCACUUUAGACGUGCUGCCAUCUCCAACGUGAUGAACCUCCAUACAUUUGUCACACUGUCAAAAAAAAAAUGUUCAUUUCCCACACAUAUGUCUAGAACACCCACAUCAGAUACCACACGUUAAGAUUGUGAAACUUUUAGGUAUGUGAGCAACAAUCCUCUCAAAUCAUUCUUCCUUAUCCAUAACAAGCCUUAGUUUGACAUUUACAUGCAUAGUGAAGAUUGUUUAUUUGACAUUUGACCCUGGUAUAAUUUACCUUGUGAAAAUUGUUACGAUUUACGUAGUUCAUAGGUAAACCAUGUAACCCUUUAUGACACUUUGGCUUAAGUGACCUCUUAUACCAAAAUAGUAACAUGUAGGAACAAAGAUGAGACAAGUAUAAUGGCUCUGGACCAUUGUGAUGGUUUACUCUUUGUGGUUGCUUUGAAACAGUAGAUUGUCCACAUAUCCAAUACCAUGAGUCUCACCCGGUAUGCUUCUGAUUCAGCCAAACUUUUCAAAGAGAAGGCACUUGCUUCGUAAUUUUUGAAAGUUUUAGAUUUGAUUUCAAGAGAUCAGCCUGUAAGUUUCAGAAUUUUUCUUUAAAGAAUCUCGUAAGUCAUCUCUAUCAGAUGCAUCUUUCGCUAGAAAUAUCACUUGGUCAAGCAGAGUCAUUUGAUAACUUUUCAACGGUUGAUUUCCUUUAGCAUCGUCAUUUAAUCAUCUUUAAAGAGCAAAUUCCUCCAAAGCUUAUUUCAGGUUCUUACUCAGUUCAUCUUUACUUCAAACAAGCUUGAUGACUCUUUGUAAGUUGAUGUAUGCUGUUGCAAAUCACCAUUUUUCUUCAUCUAUUCUGCAUCUUGGGCCACUUUUUCAUCUGAUUCAUUGAUUUAUCAUUGUCUGAUUCCUUUGAAGAUCUUCCAAUUGUUUCCCUCAUUGAUAGCCAUUAAAAGCAUUAAGUUUUCAAUUUCAUCAUCAUCAUCUGAUUCCUCUUCAUUCUUGAGUCACCCAAGUUACAGUCAAUACCUUGCUUCCAUUGGUUUUCUUUUUGUUUUUGAAAAAUCAGCAGCCAAAUGCCCAAAGCCAUGACAUCAAAACAUGUUUUGACUUGACCUUAUCAGUGGUUUUCUCACAAACUUUACUUUAUCCAAUAGAUUUCCUGAACUAUUCCAAUGAAGAGGGUGACCAUGUGUUUAAUUGAAAUCUUUAAAUUUUUUAACAAAGAAAGCCAGCUCUCAAAGCUAAUGUCUGAGUCACGAUCAUUUGGCUCAUUGGUGUUUCUUAUUAGUAGAGCUUAGAGCAAUUCCUUUAACCCUUUUUGCGUGGUCGAAAAUUGACUCAUAAGUUUGUAGUGAUCCUACUAAGUCUCUCCUUUCAUGGCAUCAACAUCCUUACUUUCCUCGAUAGCAAGUAACCUUGGCUUGAAAUCUUCAGGUGGUAAUGAUCUACAAAAUUUUUCUAAAACAAUUUUUGAAGGAGAGAUUUGUUCACAAGGUUGAAACUUGAAUUGACGAUGUCACUUAAUUUAAAGUAGAAUGAUCAAAAGUUUCAUCGUCUUCCAUUCUUAAGUUCAAAAGCUGUAUUGUAGUCAAGCGCGGAAUUUUGGCCAAUUUUACAGUAGAUGUGCCCUUCAGGGAUAAACUGUAUAAAAUAUCCCAAGCCUCUUUAGCAAGUUCACGUGUGAGAUUCUACGAAACUAUUCAGCUGUGACCCGUUAAAAUAUAGCAUAAUGCCUUGCUAUCCAACCACAGUUGUCAUAUCAACCUUUAUCCCAGUCAGAAACAUCUUUUGGGGUUAUUUUGUUCAUCAGUAACAACUGUGGGUGGCUUCCAGCCUUUGACAACGGCUGGCCAAUACUCGUUUCAUCUAUGACUUAAGAAAAGCCAUCAUUUUGGCUUCCAAUAAGAAAUAGUUUGUACCAUCAAGUAGAGGUGGGCCUAGAUGUAGAACUACCUUCCCUAGGUUAAAUCCAUAGAUUUAUAGGACAUCAGGAUCUCCCUUUUUUUAAAGUGUCCCGCUCUGAGACCAAUUGAAAAAAAAAACGGAUAGUCUUGAUCUAAUUUUAACCAAGGAUCUAAAUUACUACAAUAUUCAAUUAUGAGCACGACUCUUUGAGCCAAUAUGGUAGAAUGUAACCAUAGAAACAAAAACAACAAAGCAAAGUAAGAUGCACACGAGAAUUUUACGUGGAAACCCUGAAAGGGAGAAAGGAAAAACAACGUGGCCAAUCUCCGGACAAAGAUCAUGCAUAUCACAAAAGUUCAGACGGUUACAAGACUCGUACAAUCACUCUCUAUCAACUUUGUUGAUCUGAUGAUUGAGAGAUCUAGGCUCGUAUCCACGAUUCACCGUCUCCGUGCCGAUCACGUUCACGAUCCAACGUAGAACGGAUUUCACACCUUGAACUCCUCCAGAAUUUUGGUUUAUCAAAUACUAUUGAGGAAGAUCUAUACUAAUCAUUGUUAUGAGCUUUUUAAUUCAUUAGAAAAACGGAGCUAUGGUGUCUAUGGAUGACGACAGCUCAGAUGAGAGCAUGAUUGAAACAGCCUGAGCUGGGAGAGGGAGGGAAAGCCUAAAAGCGAGCAGAGAAAGUCGCGGCAGAGGGGCGCAGCGCGCAGAAAACGAGGGCCCACCUCAAAAAUUCCCCUUCCUCUCUUUCCAUCACCCGCUAGGAUCCGUGACGGUCGCUCCGCGACGAUCCAGCGAAUUCGGUGACAAACUGCAAGCUCUCGGCAUUCUCCCUGUGUCAACUAAGUCGCUCCCGACGACAGUCUCGCGGAGAACCUGUCGCUCCCGCGGGGACUAUCAGCCGAGAGUCCCGCCCCAGCGAAUAAACUUCUUUCAGAAGCAGACUUAAGCUUUCUUGUUGAACCUUCAUCAGUCCCGCGACAGUCUCUAGACCUUUGUCGCUCCCGGAGAGUCCAGGACCCAUCCGCGAACGAACUUUGGAACACUUCAGAUUAUCAUUUUCUCCAGUGAAGCACGAUUCGUUGCCUUGAUAACUCUUCGAACAUAUAUGCAGUCCUCCCUUAGCUUAAGCGUACAACUAUGAUGACACUUCUCUAGAAGUUGUGGAUGAUUAAACUCAAACCACGAAAAUACGGUAAAUAUGACACGUUCACGAAAUUAUGCCAACAUACCUUUCAGAACUAUUCACGUAGAUUAUUGAGAUUGUUUGGAUUAAGUUUAGUUAAAAAAAAAACUAAAAAAUUAAAAAAUCCCAAUGUAUGCAAUGAAGUCUCUAAUUUUUCUAUUUCGUUUUUUUGUCCCCAUGAUUAUUGGCCCGAAAAAGCUUGUUUAAACUCUGGCAGUUAUUUCCUCUCUCUCUCUCUCC